rnacentral:rRNA from 1 species
UACAGAGGGAGCAAGCGUUAUUCGGAAUUAUUGGGCGUAAAGGGUGCGUAGGCGGCCCAGCAAGUCUUGGGUGAAAUCCCUCGGCUCAACCGAGGAACUGCCCCGGAAACUGCUGGACUUGAGGCCGGGAGAGGGUGGUGGAAUUCCCAGUGUAGCGGUGAAAUGCGUAGAUAUUGGGAGGAACACCAGUGGCGAAGGCGGCCACCUGGACCGGUUCUGACGCUGAGGCGCGAAAGCGUGGGGAGCAAACAGG